GACGAACGCUGGCGGCGUGCUUAACACAUGCAAGUCGAACGGAAAGGCCCUGCUUUUGUGGGGUGCUCGAGUGGCGAACGGGUGAGUAACACGUGAGUAACCUGCCCUUGACUUUGGGAUAACUUCAGGAAACUGGGGCUAAUACCGGAUAGGAGCUCCUGCUGCAUGGUGGGGGUUGGAAAGUUUCGGCGGUUGGGGAUGGACUCGCGGCUUAUCAGCUUGUUGGUGGGGUAGUGGCUUACCAAGGCUUUGACGGGUAGCCGGCCUGAGAGGGUGACCGGCCACAUUGGGACUGCGAUACGGCCCAGACUCCUACGGGAGGCAGCAGUGGGGAAUAUUGCACAAUGGGCGGAAGCCUUAUGCAGCAACGCCGCGUGCGGGAUGACGGCCUUCGGGUUGUAAACCGCUUUCGCCUGUGACGAAGCGUGAGUGACGGUAAUGGGUAAAGAAGCACCGGCUAACUACGUG
rnacentral:rRNA from 1 species